rnacentral:rRNA from 1 species
GAUGAACGCUGGCGGCGUGCUUAACACAUGCAAGUCGAACGGACUUUAGGAGCUUGCUCCUAGAGUUAGUGGCGGACGGGUGAGUAACGCGUGGGUAACCUGCCCUAUGCAGGGGGAUAACGUUCGGAAACGAACGCUAAUACCGCAUAACCUAGUCGGUUCGCAUGAACUGACUAGCAAAGAUUUUAUCGGCAUAGGAUGGACCCGCGUUAGAUUAGCUAGUUGGUGAGAUAACAGCCCACCAAGGCAACGAUCUAUAGCCGGCCUGAGAGGGUGAACGGCCACACUGGGACUGAGACACGGCCCAGACUCCUACGGGAGGCAG